AGAAAGUCAAGAAGAAGCUACGAUUCAUGUCUUACUACUGACCUAUCAAAAUUAUGGCUGAUAUCUAUGAAAAAUAUGACGUGUUGUUCAAGUACUAUCAAGCAUGGCACGAGAAGAAAAUGACUAUGUAUGAGAUUCAUGAUCUCGAUCAUCUAUCGUAUAAUAAGCUUGAGCCUUAGUGUAGAGCCCUCAAGUUAGCAAACCCGAGAAC
rnacentral:lncRNA from 1 species